rnacentral:rRNA from 1 species
CGCAAUGGGCGAAAGCCUGACGGAGCAAUCUCGCGUGAGGGAUGACGGCCCAUGGGUUGUAAACCUCUUUUUUCAGGGAGGAACAAAAUGACGUGUACCUGAAGAAUAAGCAUCGGCUAACUCCGUGCCAGCAGCCGCGGUAAGACGGAGGAUGCAAGUGUUAUCCGGAAUCACUGGGCGUAAAGCGUCUGUAGGUGGUUUGAUAAGUCAACUGUUAAAUCUAGAAGCUCAACUUCAAAAUCGCAGUCGAAACUAUUAGACUAGAGUAUAGUAGGGGUAAAGGGAAUUUCCAGUGGAGCGGUGAAAUGCGUAGAUAUUGGAAAGAACACCGAUGGCGAAGGCACUUUACUGGGCUAUUCCUGACUCUCACAGACGAAAGCUA